rnacentral:tRNA from 1 species
GCCUGGGUGGCUCAGUCAGUUAAGCGUCUGACUCUUGAUCUCGGCUCAGGUCAUGAUCUCACGGUUCAUGGGUUCGAGCCCCAUGUCAGGCU